UCCACGUAUCUUCACUUCCGCCCUUCCUUGCCUUGUCUUCACUACUGUACUCCAAGUUCAUCUGCACAUUCGUGAUUCACGCACUCGCCAAAGCACCAGAAGCCGCCAAGCAGAGCGCAACAAUUGUUUUCUCUCCUGUUUAAUUCCAAUUCUAGCUUUGUGCUUUGUACAAUUGAUACAGCCUCGAAGAUUUAAGUGGUACUCUUGAAUUUUUCGUUGAAAAGGUUCCGCCAUGGACGCAGCUGCGCAGCUCGUCUACUGCGGAAUCGACCCACUCCGUCGCCGUUCGCCGUUUGCUGGAGCCAAUUCCAAUAGCAGGUUAAGAAAUCGGCUGUUCACUCCGAGAAUUAAGCGAGAUGGCGUCGUGAAGGCAGUUGCCACGGAGCCUCGGCCAUCGGAUACUAAGCCGCCUAGUGCCGUUAAUGGAUCUACGAAAACAGCGUCGUCCAAGCAGGUCAACGGUGCAUCGACUAGAAUGCAAGAUGUCUCACAGGAGAUCAAAAGGGUGCGGGCUCAGAUGGAAGAGAAUGAGCAGUUGGCUGUUCUUAUGAGAGGGCUUCGUGGUCAGAAUUUGAAGGACUCAUUGUUUGCUGAUGAUAAUGUCAAGCUCCGCUUAGUAGAGGUAGAUGAGAGCAGUGAGUUUUUGCCAUUGGUGUAUGAUCCAGACAGCAUUGCUACUUAUUGGGGGAAAAGGCCACGUGCUGUUGCCACUCGUAUUGUUCAACUGUUAUCUGUUGCUGGAGGUUUUCUCUCUCAUCUUGCCAUGGAUCUAAUAAAUAAUAAAAUACAAGAGAAUGAAGUUGCUCGAGCUAUAGAAUUGAGAGAGAUAGUUACCUCUUUGGGUCCGGCAUACAUAAAACUUGGGCAAGCAUUAAGCAUCCGACCUGAUAUACUCUCUCCUGCUGCCAUGGUUGAAUUACAGAAGCUUUGUGAUAAGGUUCCAUCUUUUCCAGAUGAUGUGGCUAUGGCUCUUCUUGAAGAGGAGCUGGGACAGCCGUGGUAUAAUGUCUACUCUGAACUUUCUCCUUCUCCUAUUGCCGCUGCAUCCCUUGGCCAAGUCUACAAGGGUCGCCUAAAGGAAAAUGGGGAUUUGGUUGCUGUCAAGGUACAGAGACCUUUUGUUUUGGAGACAGUGACUGUUGACUUGUUUAUCAUAAGGAAGUUUGGAAUGAUUCUUCGUAAAUUUCCUCAGAUCUCCGUUGAUGUCGUUGGAUUGGUUGAUGAAUGGGCUGCUCGCUUUUUUGAGGAGCUUGAUUAUGUUAAUGAGGGGGAAAAUGGAACCUUAUUUGCUGAAAUGAUGAAGAAGGACCUUCCCCAGGUGGUUGUACCUAAGACAUAUAAUAAAUACACUGCAAGGAAGGUACUUACAACACAAUGGAUAGAAGGAGAAAAGCUUUCACAAAGUACUGAAAGUGAUGUUGGAGAAUUGGUAAAUGUCGGAGUCAUAUGCUACCUUAAGCAGUUGCUUGACACAGGUUUCUUUCAUGCUGAUCCACACCCUGGGAAUUUAAUCCGGACACCAGAGGGGAAGCUGGCUAUACUGGACUUUGGCUUGGUCACAAAACUUACGGAUGAUCAGAAAUAUGGCAUGAUUGAAGCUAUUGCACAUCUUAUACAUCGUGACUAUGCUGCUAUUGUAAAAGAUUUUGUCAAACUUGGUUUUAUUCCGGAAGGAGUAAAUCUAGAACCCAUUUUACCUGUGCUGGCUAAGGUUUUCGAUCAGGCACUUGAAGGUGGAGGUGCAAAGAAUAUCAACUUUCAGGAGCUGGCCUCAGAUUUAGCACAAAUAACAUUUGAUUAUCCAUUCAGAAUACCACCUUAUUUUGCACUUAUAAUCAGAGCAAUAGGAGUGCUGGAGGGCAUCGCUUUGGUUGGAAACCCUGACUUUGCCAUUGUGGAUGAAGCUUAUCCAUACAUCGCACAGAGGCUACUCACUGAUGAAUCACCACGCCUACGAUCUGCUUUACGCUACACAAUAUACGGAAAGUCAGGUGUCUUUGAUGCAGAAAGAUUUAUUGAUGUCAUGCAAGCUUUUGAGAAUUUCAUAGAUGCAGCAAAGAGUGGAGGUGGGGAAAAUCUAAAUGGAAGAAUGGCAGAGCUUGGCAUUCUACAAAAUCAAUCAAAUAAUUUACUACCUAGUUUUAUUGGAAGUGCUUCUCAAACACAACCAAUCCAAACUAGAGCAGCCCUGGGGUUUUUGCUAUCGGAUAAAGGGAACUUUUUUCGAGAAUUUCUUUUAGAUGAGGUAGUGAAAGGCAUUGAUGCUAUCACUAGGGAACAACUAGUGCAGAUAAUAGCAUUUUUUGGAAUCGGAAAUAUAUCCCCAGUUUUCAGCAUGGUUCCAAGUCUGGGACCUAUCAAGACAUCUGCACUUCUUCCUACAAUUACCGAGGAAGAUAAAGUCAUAUUGAGCAAUGUUCAGAAAAUCAUUGAAUUCUUAUCGUCCGGGGCUGUGGCUUCAUCAAAUCAAGGUGUAAAUGUUCCACAAGUGAUUCAAGAGCUGCUUCCAGUGUUGCCAGGACUAUCUGCCAAAGUGCUUCCGGAGGUGCUUAGCAGGUUAUCAUCAAGAAUACUGGCUCGCAUAGUCCGAGAUGCAAUGUCGUGAGUAACCAGGGAAUGCAGGUAGACUGGCUUUCUUCUAAGAAAGGAAAUGGUCAUUUUUCAUGUGGAAUUAGGUUCGGUUGGGAGUUACCCGGAGUGCACUCAAUGAGUAGCGGCUGCAGAUUCCCACGUCUGUCAUAAAAAGAAAAAAGGAAGAGGAAAAGAAAAGGAUAAGUAACAGAAUAGGAUUCCGGACAUGUAGAACUGACCUGUUAUCACAUAGCAGAGGGAUUGGUAGUAAGACGGUAACCUUCAAGGCCGGUAAAAUGUAUGGAAUCCAUAGGAGUUCACAUGCGGUACUUUGGUGGACGAGAGAGUAAUUGUGUAUAUAUAAUUUUUUACCUUUCAAGAAUAUAUUAAGUUUGUAUCAAGAAAUAGAGUACCUUGUAACUGAUUUCCGAUUGUCCGGACUCCGGACAUGUCCCCA